rnacentral:tRNA from 1 species
GGGCCCGUGGGGUAGCUUGGUAUCCUUCUAGCUUGGGGUGCUAGUGACUUGAGUUCAAAUCUCAACGGGCCCAC